rnacentral:rRNA from 2 species
UGGAUAAGAACGAACGCGGGUCGCAGGCCUAACACAUGCAAGUCGAGCGGGCGCAGCAAUGCGUCAGCGGCAGACGGGUCAGUAACGCGUGGGAACGUACCUUUUGGUUCGGAACAACCCAGGGAAACUUGGGCUAAUACCGGAUAAGCCCUUACGGGGAAAGAUUUAUCGCCGAAAGAUCGGCCCGCGUCUGAUUAGCUAGUUGGUGAGGUAAUGGCUCACCAAGGCGACGAUCAGUAGCUGGUCUGAGAGGAUGAUCAGCCACAUUGGGACUGAGACACGGCCCAAACUCCUACGGGAGGCAGCAGUGGG